GCUGAUGUAGUGCAAUGGUUAGCACUUGUCCCCGGGAAUGGUGAAAUGCGGGUUCGAAUCCCGUCCAACGGUC